rnacentral:lncRNA from 1 species
AAAUAUAUGUUAAACUAUGUUUAGUAAUGUAAUAACAUCAAAAUGACAUUCGUGUACUUGUUCGUUGUUGUGUUCUCUAAAUGAGUAACUCUGCUAGUCCAAGCAACACCUAACCUUUCUUUAUAAGGUGUCAACCAUGUCUCACUCACAUACUUAACAAACAAAGAAAUAUCAACAGAAACAGUCUCAAAGUGCUUCAAG